rnacentral:rRNA from 1 species
CCUACGGGUGGCUGCAGUGGGGAAUAUUGGACAAUGGGGGGAACCCUGAUCCAGCCAUGCCGCGUGUGUGAAGAUGGCCCUCGGGUUGUAAAGCACUUUCAGUGAGGAAGAACGCCUGGUGGUUAAUACCCAUCAGGAAAGACAUCACUCACAGAAGAAGCACCGGCUAACUCCGUGCCAGCAGCCGCGGUAAUACGGAGGGUGCGAGCGUUAAUCGGAAUUACUGGGCGUAAAGCGCGCGUAGGUGGCUUGAUAAGCCGGUUGUGAAAGCCCCGGGCUCAACCUGGGAACGGCAUCCGGAACUGUCAAGCUAGAGUGCAGGAGAGGAAGGUAGAAUUCCCGGUGUAGCGGUGAAAUGCGUAGAGAUCGGGAGGAAUACCAGUGGCGAAGGCGGCCUUCUGGACUGACACUGACACUGAGGUGCGAAAGCGUGGGUAGCAAACAGGAUUAGAUACCCCAGUAGUC